AAGAGGCGGACGAUGGCUUCACCGAUACCGGUGGCACCACCGGUGACGAGGGCGACCUUCCCUUCCAACCUGUGCUUCGAUCGAAAGGAAACAUGUUUUCUUGGGAGUACCAAAUUCAACAGGGUAAAAGCUGCUGGCUAUAUAUUGCUUAAUAUGUUUUCUUGAGAGUAAAAGUUAAUUUACCUUUAGAUUUUGCACGGGACUACAAAGUGAUAAAAUCCAAUCCAAAAAAAGGUAAAAGCAGAGUUACGAGGUAUCGGAAUCGACUCGACUAACCCCUGGAGCAAGUUCUAGUGGCUGGGGGUGGCCGGUGGUGUGCUGCGGUGCGAAGCAGAGAGGCCGUGGAAAAGGAAGGAGCAGGGCACGUUACCGCU
rnacentral:lncRNA from 1 species